rnacentral:rRNA from 1 species
UACGUAGGGUGCAAGCGUUAAUCGGAAUUACUGGGCGUAAAGCGUGCGCAGGCGGUUCUAUAAGACAGAUGUGAAAUCCCCGGGCUCAACCUGGGAACUGCAUUUGUGACUGUAGAGCUGGAGUACGGUAGAGGGGGAUGGAAUUCCGCGUGUAGCAGUGAAAUGCGUAGAUAUGCGGAGGAACACCGAUGGCGAAAGCAGGUACCUGGACCAUUACUGACGCUCAGCUGCGAAAGCUAGGGGAGCAAACAGG